rnacentral:lncRNA from 1 species
UCUACUCAGUCACAGACUUAUGUCUAAUGUACUGUUAUAGAAUCCCAUCAUGAGAAAGAACACUGGGGAAAGUGGUUUUGAAAUAGUGUGAUAUUUGGACCAUUUUGUGGUUUUCAUGUAUAAUGAAAGAGAAAAAUUGACGUUGGUAUAGCUCUAGAAUACAUAGAGUGCAUGGUAGCUGUUUUAUCAACUAUAAGAAGGUCUUAUUUGCAAAGGAACUAAGAGUAGAAUGCUCACUUUCCAUCUUCUCUGGUAGUAAAGUUGGACAGCCCGUAGGUAGGGACAAGUACAGCACGGCUCUGUGGUUUCCGAAGCCAAACAGUCACUGGAAGGUCUCCUGUGAUUAAAUUGGUUGUAUCUCCUGUUCUGGGUCAUACCAAGGCCUGGUUCUCCAUGUCUCCAGCAACUCCAUGUCUCUCACAGCCUCAGAAAAUAAGUGAAUUCUUGGGUUCUCUUGGAACAGAUACACAACCCCUCAGUUGCAGAUAUGUACACAAUAUAUGAUUCAGACUGUUACCAAAAGUUUGAUAAUGGUAGCUGAAACUCAUAGCACAAUAGCUUUUGUUGAAGCGUUAUAGUGGGAGACCAUUUUAGAAAAAUAUUAUUGACCGUGAAAUAUUGGAAUAUUUUAAGGAUUUGAGUGUUUUAUGAGAGUAUUGAGAUCAAAUAUGUGUCUUGAGACAACCUUAUUCUAGUUGUCUAUAAUAAUCUCUACAUUAUAAAGGGUUUGGGGUGUCAUCUAGUCCAACCCAUAAUUUGCUAUUCCACCUAAGUCCUGUCUGCUUUCAGGGGCUCCAGGGCAAUGCAUUGAUGUCACAGGAAAUGGUUAUGAUGAUGUUGAAGAAUUACCUUGUUCCUGAAAUUCCUCCUGCCCCUGAGAUGAAUGGGAAUUAUUCUUUCUCAGAGGAGGGAGAUGGUGCCAGGUAUUCCCAGACAGAUGCCUCUCUGCAGUCUCCUAGAGAAACUGUCAACCCUAAGGUGGAAGGCAGAGGUUCCUCAUUGGUCCUGGAGCAAGGA